GUCUAUGGCCAUGCCACCUUGAACAAGCCUGAUGUCUGAUCUCAGAAGCUAAGCAGGGUUGGGCCUCGUUAGUACUUGGAUGGGAGACCACCUAGGAAGACCAGGUGCUGCAGGCA
rnacentral:rRNA from 1 species